CGUUGAAGUGAUGAUAAAGUGAUUCGGAAAUUUACAAAAUGUCGAUUAUUAUAUCAGACUACAAUUAUCUGAUCAACG